CAGCAGUAGCCGCGGUAAUACGGAGGGGGCUAGCGUUGUUCGGAAUUACUGGGCGUAAAGCGCACGUAGGCGGCUUGGUAAGUUAGAGGUGAAAGCCCGGAGCUCAACUCCGGAAUUGCCUUUAAGACUGCCGAGCUAGUAGGUGAGAGAGGUAAGUGGAAUUCCGAGUGUAGAGGUGAAAUUCGUAGAUAUUCGGAAGAACACCAGUGGCGAAGGCGACUGACUGGACAAGUAUUGACGCUGAGGUGCGAAAGCGUGGGGAGCAAACAGGAUUAGAUACCCCCGUAGUCCCUGUCUCUUAUAC
rnacentral:rRNA from 1 species